rnacentral:tRNA from 1 species
GGGGAUGUAGCUCAGCCAGGAUAGAGCGCCUGCCUGUCACGCAGGAGGUCGCGGGUUCAAAUCCCGUCAUCCCCG